rnacentral:rRNA from 1 species
AACGCUGGCGGCAGGCUUAACACAUGCAAGUCGAGCGGGGAGAUGUAGCUUGCUACUUUUCCUAGCGGCGGACGGGUGAGUAAUGCUUAGGAAUCUGCCUAUUAGUGGGGGGCAACAUUCCGAAAGGAAUGCUAAUACCGCAUACGCCCUACGGGGGAAAGCAGGGGAUCUUCGGACCUUGCGCUAAUAGAUGAGCCUAAGUCAAAUUAGCUAGUUGGUGGGGUAAAGGCCUACCAAGGCGACUAUCUGUAGCGGGUCUGAAAGGAUGAUCCGCCACACUGGGACUGAGACACGGCCCACACUCCUACGGGAGGCAGCAGUGGGGAAUAUUGGACAAUGGGCGAAAGCCUGAUCCAGCCAUGCCGCGUGUGUGAAGAAGGCCUUUUGGUUGUAAAGCACUUUAAGCGAGGAGGAGGCUACUUAUAUUAAUACUCUA